GGAGCCAUAGGGAGGGAUUCCAAACCAGCCUUAGGAAAAGAAACCUGCUGCAGGAGUCUUGGAGAUUGGCGGCCGUCCUGAUGAGUUA
rnacentral:pre_miRNA from 1 species